UACGGGGGGAGCAGGCGUUGUUCGGAUUUACUGGGCGUAAAGGGCGCGUAGGCGGUCAGCACAGGUCAGUUGUGAAAUCUCCGGGCUUAACUCGGAAAGGUCAACUGAUACUGUGCGACUAGAGUGCGGAAGGGGCAACUGGAAUUCUCGGUGUAGCGGUGAAAUGCGUAGAUAUCGGAAGGAACAUCAGUGGCGAAAGCGACUUCCUGGUCCAGCAUCGACGUUCAGGCACGAAAGCUAGGGGAGCAAACAGG
rnacentral:rRNA from 1 species